UACGAAGGGGACUAGCGUUGCUCGGAAUGACUGGGCGUAAAGAGCGUGUAGGCGGCUUGGUAGGUCUUGCGUCAAAACCUGAGGCUCAACCUCAGUUCGCGUGGGAAACCAUCUAGCUAGAGUCCGGAAGAGGAGAACGGAAUUCCCAGUGUAGCGGUGAAAUGCGCAGAUAUUGGGAAGAACACCAGUGGCGAAGGCGGUUCUCUGGGACGGUACUGACGCUGAGACGCGAAAGCGUGGGGAGCGAACAGG
rnacentral:rRNA from 1 species